GAACCUCCCACCCUUGUCUCUUGUAUACCCUGUUGCUUUGGCGGGCCCACUGGGAAUCCCCAGUCGCCGAGGGGCACUGUGCUGCCCCUGGGCCCGUGCCCGCCAGAGCGCCCUUGAACCCUAAUGAAGAUGGACUGUCUGAGCAUGAUUGAUAAUAAUCAAAACUUUCAACAAUGGAUCUCUUGGUUCCGGCAUCGAUGAAGAACGCAGCGAAAUGCGAUAAGUAAUGUGAAUUGCAGAAUUCCGUGAAUCAUCGAAUCUUUGAACGCACAUUGCGCCCCCUGGCAUUCCGGGGGGCAUGCCUGUCCGAGCGUCAUUUCUGCCCUCAAGCACGGCUUGUGUGUUGGGUGUGGUCCCCCUGGGGACCUGCCUGAAAGGCAGUGGCGACGCCCGCCUAGGUCCUCGAGCGUAUGGGGCUUUGUCACCCGCUCGGGAAGGAUCUACGGGCGUUGGUCUUCCAUAUUUUUUUCCACGGUUGACCUCGGAUCAGGUAGGAGUUACCCGCUGAACUUAAGCAUAUCAAUAAGCGGAGGAA
rnacentral:rRNA from 1 species